rnacentral:rRNA from 1 species
GAUGAACGCUGGCGGCGUGCCUAAUACAUGCAAGUCAACCGAACAGACGAGGAGCUUGCUCCUUUGACGUUAGCGGCGGACUGGUUAGUACCUCGUUGGUCACCUACCUAUACUACUGUGAUUACUUCGGGCCACCGGAGCUAAUACCUGAUAAUAUUUCUAACCGCAUGGUUCGAUAGUGAAAGAUUGCUUUGCUAUCACUUAUCUAUGGACCUUCGCCGUAUUAGCUAGUUGGUAAGGUAACGGCUUACCAAGGCAACGAUACUUAGCCGACCUGAGAGGGUGAGCGGCCACACAGGAACUGAGAAACGGUGAAGAGGCCUACGGGAGGAAGCAGUAGGGAAGCUACGGAAAUGGGCGAAAGCCUGACGGAGCAAAGCAGCGUGAGUGAGGAAGGGAUGAGGAGCUUAAGACUCUGUUAUUAGGGAAGAACAAACGUGUAAGUAACUGUGCACGUCUUGACGGUACCUAAUCAGAAAGCCACGGCUAACUACGUG